rnacentral:rRNA from 1 species
GCUCAGGAUGAACGCUGGCGGCGUGCUUAACACAUGCAAGUCGAACGGGAAAUAUUUCAUUGAGACUUCGGUGGAUUUGAUUUAUUUCUAGUGGCGGACGGGUGAGUAACGCGUGGGUAACCUGCCUUAUACAGGGGGAUAACAGUCAGAAAUGGCUGCUAAUACCGCAUAAGCGCACAGAGCUGCAUGGCUCGGUGUGAAAAACUCCGGUGGUAUAAGAUGGACCCGCGUUGGAUUAGCUUGUUGGUGGGGUAACGGCCCACCAAGGCGACGAUCCAUAGCCGGCCUGAGAGGGUGAACGGCCACAUUGGGACUGAGACACGGCCCAGACUCCUACGGGAGGCAGCAGUGGGGAAUAUUGCACAAUGGGGGAAACCCUGAUGCAGCGACGCCGCGUGAAGGAAGAAGUAUCUCGGUAUGUAAACUUCUAUCAGCAGGGAAGAUAGUGACGGUACCUGACUAAGAAGCCCCGGCUAACUACGUGCCAGCAGCCGCAGUAAUACGUAGGGGGCAAGCGUUAUCCGGAUUUACUGGGUGUAAAGGGAGCGUAGACGGUGUGGCAAGUCUGAUGUGAAAGGCAUGGGCUCAACCUGUGGACUGCAUUGGAAACUGUCAUACUUGAGUGCCGGAGGGGUAAGCGGAAUUCCUAGUGUAGCGGUGAC